rnacentral:rRNA from 1 species
UAAGCCGUUGAAGGUGGCCUGUGAGGGUUGCUGGAGGUAUCAGAAGUGCGAAUGCUGACAUAAGUAACGAUAAAGCGGGUGAAAAGCCCGCUCGCCGGAAGACCAAGGGUUCCUGUCCAACGUUAAUCGGGGCAGGGUGAGUCGACCCCUAAGGCGAGGCCGAAAGGCGUAGUCGAUGGGAAACGGGUUAAUAUUCCCGUACUUGGUGUUACUGCGAAGGGGGGACGGAGAAGGC